rnacentral:rRNA from 1 species
GGCUUGUUGAUAAUAAUUUCAGGUCGAGCCUGCCCUAUGAUUGAAGAAUUAAAUGGCCGCGGUACUUUGACCGUGCAAAGGUAGCAUAAUCACUAGUUUUUUAAUUGAAAGCUUGAAUGAAAGGUUUGAUGAGAAAAUAGCUGUCUCUGUUUAAAUUUAUUAGAAUUUUAUUUUUAAGUUAAAAAGCUUAAAUGGACAUAGAAGACGAGAAGACCCUAUAGAGUUUUAUAGUUUUUAAAUAUUAUUGAUUUUUAGUAUUGUAAGAUUUAUGUUUUGAAACUAUUUAGUUGGGGUGAUUGAAAAAUUUAAUAAACUUUUUUUGUAUAUUUACAUUGAUUUAUGAGUAUUUGAUCCUUUGCUUAAGAUUAAAAGAUAAAAUUACCUUAGGGAUAACAGCGUAAUUUUUUUUUAGAGUUCUAAUCGAAAGAAAAGUUUGCGACCUCGAUGUUGGAUUAAAARAAAUUAUUGGUGUAGGGGCUAAUAAAUUAGGUCUGUUCGACCUUUAAAAUUUUACAUGAUCUGAGUUUAAACCGGCGUGAGCCAGGUCGGUUUCUAUCU